rnacentral:rRNA from 1 species
UGGCCUUGACAUACUAAGAACUUUCCAGAGAUGGAUUGGUGCCUUCGGGAACUUAGAUACAGGUGCUGCAUGGCUGUCGUCAGCUCGUGUCGUGAGAUGUUGGGUUAAGUCCCCGCAACGAGCGCAACCCUUUUCCUUAUUUGCCAGCGGGUUAAGCCGGGAACUUUAAGGAUACUGCCAGUGACAAACUGGAGGAAGGCGGGGACGACGUCAAGUCAUCAUGGCCCUUACGGCCAGGGCUACACACGUGCUACAAUGGUCGGUACAAAGGGUUGCUACCUCGCGAGAGGAUGCUAAUCUCAAAAAGCCGAUCGUAGUCCGGAUCGCAGUCUGCAACUCGACUGCGUGAAGUCGGAAUCGCUAGUAAUCGCGGAUCAGAAUGCCGCGGUGAAUACGUUCCCGGGCCUUGUACACACCGCCCGUCACACCAUGGGAGUUUGUUGCACCAGAAGUAGGUAGUCUAACCGCAAGGAGGACGCUUACCACGGUGUGGCCGAUGACUGGGGUGAAGUCGUAACAAGGUAGGCGUAGAUGA